rnacentral:rRNA from 1 species
CCCGCACAAGCGGUGGAGCAUGUGGUUUAAUCGAAGCAACGCGAAGAACCUUACAGGUCUUGACAUCCCGAUGCUAUUUCUAGAGAUAGAAAGUUACUUCGGUACAUCGGUGACAGGUGGUGCAUGGUUGUCGUCAGCUCGUGUCGUGAGAUGUUGGGUUAAGUCCCGCAACGAGCGCAACCCCUAUUGUUAGUUGCCAUCAUUCAGUUGGGCACUCUAGCGAGACUGCCGGUAAUAAGCCGGAGGAAGGUGGGGAUGACGUCAAAUCAUCAUGCCCCUUAUGACCUGGGCUACACACGUGCUACAAUGGUUGGUACAACGAGUUGCGAGUCGGUGACGGCGAGCUAAUCUCUUAAAGCCAAUCUCAGUUCGGAUUGUAGGCUGCAACUCGCCUACAUGAAGUCGGAAUCGCUAGUAAUCGCGGAUCAGCACGCCGCGGUGAAUACGUUCCCGGGCCUU